rnacentral:rRNA from 1 species
UACGUAGGGUGCAAGCGUUAAUCGGAAUUACUGGGCGUAAAGCGUGCGCAGGCGGUUCGCUAAGACAGAUGUGAAAUCCCCGGGCUUAACCUAGGAACUGCAUUUGUGACUGGCGGGCUAGAGUAUGGCAGAGGGGGGUAGAAUUCCACGUGUAGCAGUGAAAUGCGUAGAGAUGUGGAGGAAUACCGAUGGCGAAGGCAGCCCCCUGGGCCAAUACUGACGCUCAUGCACGAAAGCGUGGGGAGCAAACAGG